GAGACAGUAGCUCAAUUGGUAGAGCGCCACACACCCGUGGAAGUUAUAGGUUCGAGUCCUAUCUGCUUCU
rnacentral:tRNA from 3 species